GAUGAAGAACGUAGCGAAAUGCGAUACGUAAUGUGAAUUGCAGAAUUCAGUGAAUCAUCGAAUCUUUGAACGCAUAUUGCGCUCUCUGGUAUUCCGGAGAGCAUGCUUGUUUGAGUAUCAGUAAACACCUCAACUCCCUUUUCUUUUUUGAAAUUGGAGCUGGACUUGAGUGAUCCCAACGCUUUCUUCCAAGAAAGUGGCGGGUUGCUUGAAAUGCAGGUGCAGCUGAACUUUUCUCUGAGCUAUAAGCAUAUCUAUUUAGUCUGCCUAAAAAACAGAUUAUUACCUUUGCUGCAGCUAACAUAAAGGAGACUAGUUCUUGUGCUGACUGANGCAGGAUUCACAGAGACAGCUUCGGCUGACUUUGUAAACUCGAUCUCAAAUCAAGUAAGACUACCCGCUGAACUUAAGCAUAUCAAUAAGCGGAGGA
rnacentral:misc_RNA from 1 species